GGCUACAACUGAUGUUUGUUCAAGGCCCAAGGGCUGUUUAAUCAGCAGGUGGUGAAUCCAGCCAGGACUGGUUCCUUCCCUUCAGUACAGCAGGCUCCCUUCUUGUCCCAGGGUGGGUCUAGAUAUAUCCAGGAAUUAGGGCCUAGAAUCAGGAACAUUAGAAAUCUAUGUGGUGCUUCAUUUUACUGUAGCUGAGGUAGUACCCAGGUUGCAAGACAAAGUCCUUUUUACUCUUUCUUUUCCUUUCCUCAGGCAGAAACAGUCUCUCCCCAUGGCCACCACUGUCCCAGGUCCUUCACGACUACUGCCUGGCCACCACUGAUGUUUGGUCAAGACCCGAGGACUCUUUAGUCAGCAUGUGGUGAAUCCUGCCAGGACUGGGUCCAUCUCUUCAGUACAGAGGGGACAAUCACUGGAGGGUUCACUUGGUCAUCUUGCUCCACCUCUCCACUCAGCAGUAAAAUAUUUUUAAAUUAAGAAAUCCAGCAAUUUCCUGGGCACAGUUGAAGCAGGAGCUCCAGGAGAUGAAGUAGAUGAUCCUGUAGCACUGGGCAGGGUCUAGAUGCCAAGAAGAAACCAAGUCCAGGAAGCACUGCUCCACAUGGUGGCCUUGAUAGCCAUUGAGAAUAAU